CCCUUAGAUGUUCUGGGCUGCACGCGUGCUACAAUGGCGUUUCCAGCAAGUCUGCGAACCCGAGAGGGCCAGCGGAUCUUCGAAUUGGCGUCGUGAUCGGGACAGUCGAUUGCAAUUAUUUGACUCAAACGAGGAAUUCCUUGUAAUCGCGAUUCAUCAUAUCGCGCUGAAUACGUCCCUGCCCUUUGUACACACCGCCCGUCGCUCCUACCGAUUGAGCGAUCCGGUAAGUGUUUUGGAUUGGUGCCGGGGCGGCUAGCUGCCGGUCGCUACGAAAUUUUGUGAACCUUAUCGCUUAGAGGAAGGAAAAGUCGUAACA
rnacentral:rRNA from 1 species